rnacentral:rRNA from 1 species
GAUGAACGCUGGCGGCGUGCCUAAUACAUGCAAGUCGAGCGAACAGACGAGGAGCUUGCUCCUCUGACGUUAGCGGCGGACGGGUGAGUAACACGUGGAUAACCUACCUAUAAGACUGGGAUAACUUCGGGAAACCGGAGCUAAUACCGGAUAAUAUAUUGAACCGCAUGGUUCAAUAGUGAAAGACGGUUUUGCUGUCACUUAUAGAUGGAUCCGCGCCGCAUUAGCUAGUUGGUAAGGUAACGGCUUACCAAGGCAACGAUGCGUAGCCGACCUGAGAGGGUGAUCGGCCACACUGGAACUGAGACACGGUCCAGACUCCUACGGGAGGCAGCAGUAGGGAAUCUUCCGCAAUGGGCGAAAGCUUGACGGAGCAACGCCGCGUGAGUGAUGAAGGUCUUCGGAUCGUAAAACUCUGUUAUUAGGGAAGAACAAAUGCGUAAGUAACUAUGCACGGCUUGACGGUACCUAAUCAGAAAGCCACGGCUAACUACGUG